rnacentral:lncRNA from 1 species
CUAUUUGUGUUUGUAUAUGAAAUAAUAAUAAAUAGGAAUAAUUGUCUAUAUAUCCUUCAAAACUUUAGAAAUAUCUCAUUUAUUCUUUUUUUUUUCCAAUAUACCCCUCAUAUGUUCAUCCGUUUUUCUAAAAUAUUCCUACAGUUACUACCCGUUAAAUUAACUUGGAUUAAAUAUGAGUUAAAUAUUUACUAGAAUUAAAAAAAAUCAAAAUGCCUAUUUUGCUCUUAAUUUAAGAACAAAUAAGAAAUGUUGGUGAUGAUGGAAGGGUAUAUUUGAAAAGCCCAAAAAUCAAAUUGCUUUUGUGCCCCUAACUUAAGAGCAAAUAAGAAAAGUCGAUGAUGGUGAAAUGGUAUAUUUGAAAGGGCAAAAUAGUAAUUUCAUACAAAUAACAGCUAUUGUUAACAGAAUUUAACUAUGGGAGUAUAUUUGAAAUAGUUGAAACGUAAAAAUGAUAUUUUCAAUAUUAGCCUUCUAAAAUAAGUAAAUCAGAAAGUCGGAAACUUUUCAGGAAUAUAUAAAUAAUUAUCCCUAAUAAAUAUAAUGUUGAUUAUUUGGUUGAUUGGGAAAUUGAGAUAUAAUA